GACAGAGGGUGCAAACGUUGUUCGGAAUUACUGGGCGUAAAGCGUGUGUAGGCGGUCUGCUAAGUCGGGUGUGAAAGCCCCGGGCUCAACCCGGGAAGUGCACUCGAAACUGGCAGGCUAGAGUACUGGAGAGGUUGGUGGAAUUCUCGGUGUAGAGGUGAAAUUCGUAGAUAUCGAGAGGAACACCGGUGGCGAAGGCGGCCAACUGGACAGAUACUGACGCUGAGACACGAAAGCGUGGGGAGCAAACAGG
rnacentral:rRNA from 1 species